GCCGGCCCGGUUCAGUCCGGUUCAGUCCGGUUCUCCCGCAGCCGGCGAGCGGCGUCCCGCGCCCCCGCCUGCCCGUGCCCCCGGGGCGGGAGCGUUGCGGCUCCUGCCUGCAGCUUCGUGCCGGGGCGGCGGGGAGCGGGCGGCGCGGCCGCGCUGGAGGGAGUCGCGCGGGUGUAACGGUCUUUCCCAACAGCAAAACGCGUUUGGGGGGAAAAGGUCCUGGUGGAGUGUGUAUGGUUUCUGAGAACUGGGAAAUGCGGAGAAAUGCAGCCAUAGCCAAAGGUCAGUGUUCAUGAAAUCUGGGACGCAUCUUUUUGUAACAGCUGUUCGAGUAGUACCACCAAUUCUCACCAAAUCCAAGAAUCUGGAGUGAAACAGUGGUGCUGCCCUUGGCACAUGUCUGUGCCAGGGAAGAGUAUAGACCUUUCUCAGGCUUUCAUAAUGUGGUUGUGUCUUCCCUUCACCUGUUCAAAUGUCCAAAAUAGAUGCAUUCUCAGAAAGCAUUGUUAGAGAAGCAAUAAAGAAUAACUGUUUUGGGUUUGCACUAAAAGAACAACUUCUAAACAUAAAUUAAUCUGUCCCUAUUUUAUGCAUUCAUUUGUUCAUUGUGAUUUUUGAGAGGAGAGCUUAUUAUAACUGUCUGGAGCUAUAUUUCUGUGUUUUUAAAGUGUGGUUGUUCCUACCUGUGAUUUAUUUGUGUGAAUUCUCCCUGAAAGUAGAUCAGAUGGCAUUUUUUUCCAAGUGAAAACAGACCUUUAAAAAUGAAAAA